rnacentral:rRNA from 1 species
UACGGAGGAUGCGAGCGUUAUCCGGAUUUAUUGGGUUUAAAGGGUGCGUAGGCGGGUGAUUAAGUCUGUGGUGAAAGCGUGCGGCUCAACCGUACCGAGCCAUGGAAACUGGUUGUCUUGAGUAUAGACGAGGUAGGCGGAAUGUGAUGUGUAGCGGUGAAAUGCUUAGAUAUGUCACAGAACUCCGAUUGCGAAGGCAGCUUACCAGGCUAUAACUGACGCUGAGGCACGAAAGCGUGGGUAUC